AUCAGCAUGACAGACAUUAACAACAAAUCUAGCACCAACAAUGAGAUAAAAGCACAAGAAGGAAAGAAGCAAGUUGAAUUUGGUUGAUAGAACUGCAACCUUCACCAUGGAGAGCAGCAUGUUAACCUUUGUGCUUCUGUGUGUGGUGUGGUUACAGGUUGAAGCCAUUAAUGUAGACAUUCCUCAAUCAAUGUAUGAGUUUGCCAGAGAUACCAACAUCACAAUACCCUGUACAUUUACAACAACAGUCCAACCCCCAAAAUCAGGUGUCAUCACCUGGUCCAGGAGGCCCACGGAUUCCACGGAUCCCAAUGUUCCGUUUG